rnacentral:rRNA from 1 species
ACUCCUACGGGAGGCAGCAGUGGGGAAUAUUGCACAAUGGGCGGAAGCCUGAUGCAGCAACGCCGCGUGCGGGAUGACGGCCUUCGGGUUGUAAACCGCUUUCGCCUGUGACGAAGCGUGAGUGACGGUAAUGGGNAAAGAAGCACCGGCUAANAACNGG